UGAGACAGGUGCUGCAUGGCUGUCGUCAGCUCGUGUUGUGAAAUGUUGGGUUAAGUCCCGCAACGAGCGCAACCCUUAUCCUUUGUUGCCAGCGGUCUGGCCGGGAACUCAAAGGAGACUGCCAGUGAUAAACUGGAGGAAGGUGGGGAUGACGUCAAGUCAUCAUGGCCCUUACGACCAGGGCUACACACGUGCUACAAUGGCGCAUACAAAGAGAAGCGACCUCGCGAGAGCAAGCGGACCUCAUAAAGUGCGUCGUAGUCCGGAUUGGAGUCUGCAACUCGACUCCAUGAAGUCGGAAUCGCUAGUAAUCGUGGAUCAGAAUGCCACGGUGAAUACGUUCCCGGGCCUUGUACACACCGCCCGUCACACCAUGGGAGUGGGUUGCAAAAGAAGUAGGUAGCUUAACCUUCGGGAGGGCGCUUACCACUUUGUGAUUCAUGACUGGGGUGAAGUCGUAACAAGGUAACCGUAGGGGAACCUGCGGUUGGAUCAC
rnacentral:rRNA from 1 species